rnacentral:snRNA from 1 species
AUCAUUUCUCGGCCUUUUGGCUAAGAUCAAGUGUAGUAUCUGUUCUUAUCAGUUUAAAUAUCACGUGCUGUCAGGAAGAUAGCUCAGUGGCGUAAUGCCUGCCUUGCAAGCAUGAGGUCAUGAGUUCAAUUCUUGGUACCAAACAUAAAUAUCACAGUUUCUCUUGUGAGAACAAA